rnacentral:tRNA from 2 species
AGGGGAGUAGCACAAUUGGUAGUGCACCGGUCUCCAAAACCGGGGGUUGCAGGUUCGAGUCCUGUCUCCCCUG